GAUGAACGCUAGCGGCAGGCUUAAUACAUGCAAGUCGAGGGGCAGCAUGAUUGUAGCAAUACAGUUGAUGGCGACCGGCAAACGGGUGCGGAACACGUACACAACCUCCCAAUAAGUGGGGAAUAGCCCAGAGAAAUUUGGAUUAAUACCCCGUAACAUAACGAUGUGGCAUCACAUUGUUAUUAUAGAUUUUUCGCUUAUUGAUGGGUGUGCGGCUGAUUAGAUAGUUGGCGGGGUAACGGCCCACCAAGUCUACGAUCAGUAACUGAUGUGAGAGCAUGAUCAGCCACACGGGCACUGAGACACAGGCCCGACUCCUACGGGAGGCAGCAGUAAGGAAUAUUGGACAAUGGACGCAAGUCUGAUCCAGCCAUGCCGCGUGAAGGAUUAAGGUCCUCUGGAUUGUAAACUUCUUUUAUAAGGGACGAAAAAAGGCUUUUCUAAGUCGUCUGACGGUACCUUAUGAAUAAGCACCGGCUAACUCCGUGCCAGCCGCCGCCGUAACAC
rnacentral:rRNA from 1 species